GACGAACCGUGCGAACGUUGUUCGGAAUUACUGGGCUUAAAGGGCGCGUAGGCGGGCGACCAAGUCCUGGGUGAAAUCCUCCGGCUUAACCGGAGAAGUGCCUGAGAUACUGGUCGUCUGGAGGGAGGUAGGGGCAGCUGGAACUUCCGGUGGAGCGGUGAAAUGCGUUGAUAUCGGAAGGAACGCCGGUGGCGAAAGCGAGCUGCUGGACCUUUUCUGACGCUGAGGCGCGAAAGCCAGGGGAGCAAACGGG
rnacentral:rRNA from 1 species